UUUUUUUUUUUUUUUUUUUUUCACAACCCUGUUUCUCUCUAUGCCUGCGAUGAAGAAGAAAGUCUGAGAUGAAGGGUCCUCCCUGCAGCCAGAAGAAAUGGCAAGUCACAUCCAGAGAUCUUGAGAAAAACUUUUGCUGUGAGAGGAGGGACAAAGUUCAGCCUGUCUCCAUAGAGUUUCUCUCUGCAAUUUUGGAAGGCAGAGUUGGAAGGUUUUAGCCUGAAUUCAGGCCCACUCUGGGAAUUAAAGGGGGACUAACCCGAUUCUUUCUCUUCUAGCUAACCUGUGAAGAUGGUUUGGAAAGAAUUUUACAUUAAAUAUCUCAGUUGCUCCCCUUUCCCUCCCAUCAGCACUCUCCCUAUCAUUCUCCUAAACCAACACAAAUGACAGCUUUAUUUUUGGUCAAGCUACACUUUUAUAAGUUUUCUUUCUUCUUCUUUUUUUUUUUUGGUCUCAUUAACUCCACUCCCUCAGUCUCCCUAGAUUUUCCAAUGAUUAAAGUAGUGGGCUUUUAAAAAAGGCCUCCAAUUAGCACCUCAUCAGCUCCAAUUAGAGGAGACAAAAGCCGUGUAAAGAUAACUCAAUGAGAGAGGCCGGCACAACCUCAUGUAAUCACUUAAGACAAGCAUCGGGCGUUCUCUUUGCUAACUGUGCUGGGCCUAUUCACCUUUCUUUCUUCCUUUUGGAUGCAUUUAAGACUGUUUUGCUGGGAAGACAGGCCUCCCAGGAGUCUCAUAAUUCCUCAUUCAGAGGCUACCUGUUUACAGCUCCCAGAGCCCAAGGACCUAAACAAUCCUAUAUUGUCUGCCUAGUGCUUCCUUAAACUCCCGCAUCCCUAAUGGCCAGUUCUCUGUGACCGCAGCAUCAGUUAAAGGCUGGCUUUAUACUCACUGAGUGUUCGCCUUGUACUGUCUUCUAAUUAUAUGGGAGGGCAACAAUGUAUUUUUUUUUUCAAUGAGAGUUCUUUGGAGCAGUUAAUUUGGUGCCUGUACUAAAUGCUCCCAAACAUUAAUUAGGGUGGAAGGAACCCUAAUUUCCUCUGCAGCUUUCAGCUUUCCCCUCUACUUACUUCCCUUGUAUUCACAUAGGCCUGGAUGAGUCUCCAUAAUGAAAUUACCUCAUUAAUGCCUUUAUUCUUCACAGUAACUCAUUCAAAACCGACCAUUUAGCUUUAAUUUAAUGCUGUCAAAAGGAAAAAGGUGCAUUCAUGGCUUUGAUUAGCAAAAAAUUUUCCCCCCUAAGGGGCGGACAGAUUUAAAUUAUGAAGAUGGUAAGUAGUAAGUUAUAAUUGGGCACAAGCAGCACUUCAGGGAAGCUUAAAUGCUUUCAAAGCUGGGUCUGGCCGGUCUGCAGACUAUUAACUGUGUCCAGUGCCUUGUUCUCACUAUUUGAAUUGAUGGCAACUUAACUAUAAAAAAGAAAAUGGGGUUUAAUUUUUGUUUAAUACACAGUGGGGUUGUAUUUACCCACAGAGCAAUAGCUUUUCGAUGAGCUCAGCCUUUGUUCUCCUAAUAAUUUAUUAUCCAUGCUUCCCAACAUGAGUUUUGAAGGCGCCAUGCAUGUCCCUGUUUUCAAGGCGAAAAUAAACCCUUAAGUGCACAGACUGAGCAAGUGGGUUGUUGACCUAACACCCAGCUAGGGUAGCACCAGAUACAUGAGCUCUAAUAAUAUGUUUCAUAAUGAUUUAAAGUCAUUGCACUUUGGGGAUUUAACCUUAAAUAAACAAACAAACUUGUUCCUUCAUGUUUUCUUUCUCGAUGCAACAAUCACUUGAUGUAAGACUUAGAUAUUAAGUGCUUGUUGAAAAACCAGAAGUUUGGGAAUCUGAAGGAUUUACUCAAAAAUAAUGCUUAGUGGCAAAUACAGGACCAGAAGCCACUAUACAGCUUGGGGUAACACACAGUACUCUGAUUUUGAAGACAAAGCUGCAUUUUUUUGUAACAUCCAGAGUAUCAAGCAUGGUUACAUUGAUUCAACCUCAAUUUGUAUAUAAAGAAGAGAGUCUGCUUAACCAGGCAAUACUAUCCUAGCUGGAAUAUGUGUGUGUAUGUGUGUGUGUGUGUAUAUAUAUAUCUUAUAUGGAUGUAUAUGUUAUAUUAAUUGUAUAAACAGAUGGUUCAUUGCACGUCAGUGAAUCACAAAUGGAUGGAGAGUGAUUCUGGAUGCAAAGUGGUGUUCAAUCACUAAGCACAAGCAACGAGAGAUGGGGAGAGGGAGAGAACGAGAGUGAGAGGGAGCCAAGCAAGACCAUGUAGCUUGUUCUUUCAAAACCUAAAAUGAUGUGACACAUCAUCAAAACAACAUAGAAGUUCAGUGGGAAGAGUGUGGGACUUGGGGUCAGGUCUACUUUAAAAAUCCCACCUCUACCAUGAACAGGUUACUUCAAUUUUCUCAGUCUAAGUUAACUCAUUUGUUCAAUGAGGAUCAUAAAACCUGUUUGUGAUGAUAAGGAAACACAUAAAAAGAGCAAGCAUUAAUAUAAGUGGCUUGCAAGUUCAGAGAGUAAGUGUUGCAGAGGGAAAACUUUUCUUCUAACCAUGUAGAUUCUGUGCUAGAUGCCUGCAAAUCAAAUUGACAAAUGCUAGAUUAGCAAGAGAAAAGACAGAUUUUUGUUCAUGGAAAAAUGUGACUCAAGGAGGAAUAUGGGGUUUAUAAACCGUUUUAAUAGGGAAUGGGGAGGGGCACUUCUGGGAAAACAAAUGACUUCUUAAAAAUUGGGUGGAGGGAGGAGAAAGGGCACUUAAGAAAAGCAAAUGACUUUGGGGAAAGAUAAAUGGGCCCUUAGGAGAAUAGAUGGGGGAUAUGAUAGUUUUGUGGCAAUAUCUACUUGGGUGUGGUGCCAGCUUCUCUCCAAGAAGAGAUUAGAGUUGCUCCAGGGGAGAGAAUUUAUGAGAAUUGAGUGCUUUUAGGUAGACAAGGGGAGUUUUAGGAACUUGAAAAGCUUUUGAGCUUUUGGCUCAAAAUAAUUUUUAUGCCAUAGAAUAAUUCUUAUUCUGGACCUCUUUAUAAGGAAAAGACGGUAUUAAUAACAACUAUUAAACCAAGCUAAAUGCCUUCAAUACCUUGGAAAAGUCUCAACACACAUCAAUUCACAUAUUUUCCAUUAAUUCAUAUAGUUAAUAUUUACGGUAUAAUAUUUUAAGUGAUAACUUUUUUUUUUUUGUCUUUUUUUUGCCUUUUUUUCUAGGACUGCUCCCAUGGCAUAUGGAGGUUCCCAAGCUAGGGGUUGAAUCCAAGCUGUAGCUGCCAGCCUAUACCACAGCCACAGCAAUGCCAGAUCCGAGUCUCAUCUGCAGCUAUGCCACAGCUCAUGGCAAUGCCAGAUCCGUAACUCACUUAGCAAGGCCGGGGAUCAAACCCGCGUCCUCAUGGAUACUAGUCAGAUUCGUUUCUGCUGAGCCACCACAGGAACUCCUGAAUUCUUAAAUCAGCAGAAUGGCUGCUUCUUCCCUAUUUAUGGUUACAGAAAUGUGUCUGUGAUAUGGAAAAGGGUUACACCUCAACUGGCUUGGAUUGUGAGCCUUUCUGUCAUCCUAACAUGUCAGACACAGUGAUGUGGAAAACACCUCAUUAAAUGCAGUAUUAUCUGCCAUGGGCACAUCCAGGAGCCCUGCUCCCCUUUCCCUUACUCCAGUAGUGCAGUUUUUAGACUUGACCUUGGGCUUUUGAUACUAAAAGAAGGACUUGUGAAGGCUCUUUUAAUGCACUUUCUCUUAAUUUAGGACUUUUCAGUUGUCAGUUCACUGACAUCAAAGUAUUACACCAGUGUGAUCUAGUUCUAGAAUUAGAAUCAUAUUCUAUUAGCAGUGUAUUCAACAUAUGAUUCCAAAUUGUUUGCAGGUUAUUGAAAAAUAGAUAUUGUUAGGGGUUGACUUACAUCCCCCUUUCCCCCAAAAGAUAUGCUGAAGUCCUCACCCUCAGUAUCUGGGAAUGUGACCUUCUUUGGAAAUAGGGUCAUUGCAGAUGUAAUUAGUCAAGAUGAGGUCAUACUGGAAUACGGCAGACCUUAAUGUAAUAUGAUGGUGUCCUUAUAAAAAGGGACAAGUGGGCACAGAGACAGACACCCAUGGAGAGAAGACACAGGGAGGAUGCGUGUGAAGGUAGAGGGCUGGAGUGCUGCAGCUACAAGCACCAAAGAUGCCUGCAAACAACUGGAAGAUGGAAAGAGGCCCUAACAGAAGCUUCCUGAGAGCCCUGCGAACAUCUCAAUUUUGGACUUUUAGCCUCCAAAACUGUGAGCUAGUACUUUCUGCUUUGGGUUUUUUUGGUUUGUUUGUUUAUUUAUUUAUUUUUUUUGCCACCUCUUGGUGUAUGGAGUUCCUAGGCCAGGGAUCAAGUCCAAGCUGCAGCUUUGUCCUAUGCCACAGCUGCUGAGAAGCCAGAUUCUUUAACCUACUGUGCCAGGUCACUGCAGAGAUGCCUGCUGUUCCUGUAGUGCCACAGCAGGAACUCCAGCUUCUGCGUUUUAAGCCACCCACUUAAUUGUGGUACUUUGUUAUGGCAGCUCUAGGAAACCAAUAGAGAUUCAAAUAUUUUUAGAAUUGGUUAUUUCACCUCAUUAUAAGUAAUGAGCUUUACAGCUACGUCAUCAUGAUCAUUAGUAGUAGUGAUUUAGUAUGUAAAUUAUGUUAAUAUCCUUUUGUUAGAGCGAUGUUUAGUUUUUGUUUAUAUAGUCCUUUUCUUCUAAAGAUCUUCAAGUAAUAAGUUUGAUCAUUGCUAGACACUGAUUAGGAAAAAAAUCACUUCUGAGGCACUCUUCUGACACUCCCCACUUCCCCACCCUCCAAUGCAAAUGUCUAUGUAUGGGCUUUUUCAACAUCUUGGCUUUACUUUGUGCUGUUCUUAACCAUCAAGAAUCAUUAGGUGUUUGAAUUCCUGUUGAGUUCCUGUGGUAACCAUGAGGUUGUGGGUUUGAUCCCUGGCCUCGAUCAUUGGGUUAAGGAUCCGGCCUUGCUGUGAGCUGUGGUGUACAUCAAAGAUGCAGCUCAGAUCCUGUAUUGCUGUGAGCUGUGGCGUAGGCAGGCAGCUGUAGCUCCGAUUUGAUCCCUAGCCUGGGAACCUCCAUAUGCCUCAGGUGUGGCCCUAAAAAGAAAAGAAAAGAAAACAAAAAA
rnacentral:lncRNA from 9 species